GACGAACGCUGGCGGCGUGCUUAACACAUGCAAGUCGAACGGUAAGGCCCUUCGGGGUACACGAGUGGCGAACGGGUGAGUAACACGUGGGUGAUCUGCCCUGCACUUCGGGAUAAGCCUGGGAAACUGGGUCUAAUACCGGAUAGGACCACUGCCUGCAUGGGUGGUGGUGGAAAGCCUUUGCGGUGUGGGAUGGGCCCGCGGCCUAUCAGCGUGUUGGUGGGGUGAUGGCCUACCAAGGCGACGACGGGUAGCCGGCCUGAGAGGGUGACCGGCCACACUGGGAAUGAGAUACGGCCCAGACGCCGACGGGAGGCAGCAGUGGGGAAUAUUGCACAAUGGGCGCAAGCCUGAUGCAGCGACGCCGCGUGAGGGAUGACGGCCUUCGGGUUGUAAACCUCUUUCAGCACCGACGAAGCGCAAGUGACGGUAGGUGCAGAAGAAGGACCGGCCAACUACGUGCCAGCCGCCGCCGUAA
rnacentral:rRNA from 1 species